GGGAUCAACUAUCCAUGACAGAGAGAGACGGUGAGGAAUGCUGGGAUACCCCUAAAACAUCCCAUACCUUGCACGUGUGGUAUUUACGAUAAAGGCAUGUGUAUAAAGUUACCGAAAUCAAAUCUUUCGAAAUCUUUCGCAGCUAUCGGGUUUCGAAUUAUCUCGGCGUCUCGAGAAUCUUGAGUGUCGAACGUAUUCUAUCUCCGUGCGAUGAUAUCCGAGUAAUAUUUUUGUCCUGAUAUGACAAAGUACGCUCCGGGAGUGCCGUAGGAAAUGUCGCGCGAAUAAUAAUUAUUCGGAUUUUCGCGAGUGUUGUAAUCAUGUUCCUGUACUGAGAGGAGGACGUGGAGGCUCAGGAUGGGCA